AUUGAACGCUGGCGGCAGGCUUAACACAUGCAAGUCGAGCGGGGUGAUGGUGCUUGCACUAUCACUUAGCGGCGGACGGGUGAGUAAUGCUUAGGAAUCUGCCUAUUAGUGGGGGACAACAUCUCGAAAGGGAUGCUAAUACCGCAUACGUCCUACGGGAGAAAGCAGGGGAUCACUUGUGACCUUGCGCUAAUAGAUGAGCCUAAGUCGGAUUAGCUAGUUGGUGGGGUAAAGGCCUACCAAGGCGACGAGCUGUAGCGGGUCUGAGAGGAUGAGCCGCCACACUGGGACUGAGACACGGCCCAGACUCCUACGGGAGGCAGUAGUGGGGAAUAUUGGACAAUGGGGGGAACCCUGAUCCAGCCAUGCCGCGUGUGUGAAGAAGGCCUUAUGGUUGUAAAGCACUUUAAGCGAGGAGGAGGCUCUUUUGGUUAAUACCCAAGAUGAGUGGACGUUACUCGCAGAAUAAGCACCGGCUAACUCUGUGCCAGCCGCCGCCGUAA
rnacentral:rRNA from 1 species